UAUGUAUUCUUCCCAUAUAUUAGUUUUUAAGAGCAAUGAAAUGAUAUUUGAGUUUUAGGGUAUUGUUAGCCACUAUUUUGUAACAGUUUGCUUUAAGAUAGUUGCACUUUAGUAGCAUAAUUUGGUUUAUAAAAAAAAUUAUUUAAAAUUAGAAAGCUUGAUUCCUAUUGGUCAGUUCACAAAGGGAAGGAUUGGUUUUUGUAGUUCAUCCACCGUAGAUAUUAAUAACUCUAACGGCCGUGAUUUAAUCAGAAUUUUUUCCUCUUCUCUGUUUUCUCUUUUGUCAGUUUCACACAAAAGUUUUUGUUCCAGAUCUAUGAAAAAGGAGCAGCUAUAACCCGGGAAGAAGAAGUGGUGGUCUGACAGAGCAGACACGCCGGUGGUGAGGUGGUCAACGAAUUGGAGGAACGGUGGAGGCUAUAUGUGUCAACAAAACUUUUGAAUCAUAUCUAUUUAGUAAAAAUCAUAUAUUGAUCUUUCUGUUUCUCUCCUUCACAUCGUAGAUUUGGGUAUCUAUUUAGUUUCAUAUACUUCUUUACUUUUUAGUGAUAAACUGUGUCGUUUCUUGAUUUUGUGGAACUCAAUUGUAAUUUUGUUUGUGGAUUUGAACUUGGAGUCAUGGAAUUUGGGUUUGUGCUAUAAUUUUCAUUGUGGUUUGAACAAAACCAAGCCAUUAUUGUGCCAGGACAAUCGCACUUGGUAUUGAUCUCUGUUUUCUCUUUUCUUCUCUGACUUGUUCUGUUUUGUUAUUUUAUGUUUCAGUUGCAGGAUCUAAAGGACGAAAGCGCAUAUUUUAGGUUGGAUCGUAAUGGAGGGUAGUCUUUCUCCCAGUUAUGGAGAAGAAAAGAGAAAAAACGAAGGCCCGAGUAGUUCACCUUCUUCAGCAUUUGAGAAACUGCAAGACAGUGACAUGCUGAUCAACACAAGAUUGAAGAGCAAGCACCGUGAUGCUUAUCCCCCCCCCCCAUUUAUUAGUUUUUAAGAGCAAUGAAAUGAUAUUUGAGUUUUAGGGUAUUGUUAGCCACUAUUUUGUAACAGUUUGCUUUAAGAUAGUUGCACUUUAGUAGCAUAAUUUGGUUUAUAAAAAAAAUUAUUUAAAAUUAGAAAGCUUGAUUCCUAUUGGUCAGUUCACAAAGGGAAGGAUUGGUUUUUGUAGUUCAUCCACCGUAGAUAUUAAUAACUCUAACGGCCGUGAUUUAAUCAGAAUUUUUUCCUCUUCUCUGUUUUCUCUUUUGUCAGUUUCACACAAAAGUUUUUGUUCCAGAUCUAUGAAAAAGGAGCAGCUAUAACCCGGGAAGAAGAAGUGGUGGUCUGACAGAGCAGACACGCCGGUGGUGAGGUGGUCAACGAAUUGGAGGAACGGUGGAGGCUAUAUGUGUCAACAAAACUUUUGAAUCAUAUCUAUUUAGUAAAAAUCAUAUAUUGAUCUUUCUGUUUCUCUCCUUCACAUCGUAGAUUUGGGUAUCUAUUUAGUUUCAUAUACUUCUUUACUUUUUAGUGAUAAACUGUGUCGUUUCUUGAUUUUGUGGAACUCAAUUGUAAUUUUGUUUGUGGAUUUGAACUUGGAGUCAUGGAAUUUGGGUUUGUGCUAUAAUUUUCAUUGUGGUUUGAACAAAACCAAGCCAUUAUUGUGCCAGGACAAUCGCACUUGGUAUUGAUCUCUGUUUUCUCUUUUCUUCUCUGACUUGUUCUGUUUUGUUAUUUUAUGUUUCAGUUGCAGGAUCUAAAGGACGAAAGCGCAUAUUUUAGGUUGGAUCGUAAUGGAGGGUAGUCUUUCUCCGAGUUAUGGAGAAGAAAAGAGAAAAAACGAAGGCCCGAGUAGUUCACCUUCUUCAGCAUUUGAGAAACUGCAAGACAGUGACAUGCUGAUCAACACAAGAUUGAAGAGCAAGCACCGUGAUGCUUAUCCCCCCCCCCUUUUUGCUGCAAAUCUUCGAACCUGGUAGCCAAUUUGGAGAUGCUCUUCAACUCUCUUUCAACAACGGAUCUACGGUUCCCCGUUUAUGCAUCAAAUUGUCUACUACGACCUCUGAGGCGAUUAUCAGAUCACGAACAUUAGGAUAGAUGAGUAGAAUUUUGUAUGUAACAUUCUUUUGUAAUUUUAAUUAUCAAAUUUCAAAUUCUAAAAUAUUUAAAUUUCAAAUAUUCUAAAUGAAAUUUAUAAUUUGGAAA